UACGUAGGGUGCGAGCGUUGUCCGGAAUUAUUGGGCGUAAAGGGCUCGUAGGCGGUCUGUUGCGUCAGGAGUGAAAACUCGGGGCUUAACCCCGGGCCUGCAGUCGAUACGGGCGGACUAGAGUUCGGUAGGGGAGACUGGAAUUCCUGGUGUAGCGGUGAAAUGCGCAGAUAUCAGGAGGAACACCGGUGGCGAAGGCGGCAUCCUGGACCAACACUGACGCUGAGUGAGCGAAAGCCAGGGGAGCAAACAGG
rnacentral:rRNA from 1 species